CCGCGGCUCCGCUUAGCUAGGUGGCUGCCUCCAUGUCCUCCCUCGAACCAUCUGAUAGUUUUAAGCGGUGACAGGAGCAGAAAAGACCCCUGUAGCGGCGCUUCAUUAAUGUGCCACUUCUUAGCUAUCAUAUGACAAUCGCCUUGGGAGGAGGAGGAAGAGGAGGGGGAGCGGGGGCUGCAGAGGGAGGGGACUGAGCGAGAGGGGAGAGCCUGGCCAGCUCUCAUUUCUUUCACACCUAUUUACAUGGACACCUUGGCCAAUAGGAAUCACUUCCAGCUCAAGACUGAGCGUGGGGGAAGAGCCUCGGCCACCGGAGGGGAGCAGGACGCGCUGGUCAGGGUGCACGGUGUGAAGAAAAAUCUCAAGUCAGAAGAAAGCUUUGCUGAGGCAACAUGAAGGCGUAAGACCCGAUGAAGGUAUACUGUACAGGUUUCUCCUCAGCCUGCUCAUUGAGGAAAGACCACUUGCUCACACAUUAUAGAAGUUCCUGGGCCAGGCAUCAAACCCGUGUCACAGCAGCAACCUAAGCUGCUGCAGUGACAAUGCUGGAUCCGCAACCUGCUGUGCCACAAGGUCCCCGAUGAAUGGAAGUCUUUAAACACUGCCGCCCAAAACAAUGUCCUCAGCCCUGUUCUGUCUCCUGGCUGUUCCCAUGGCAUGUUCGCAGGGUAAGGUCAAAUCAGAGCUACAGCUGCUGGUCCACGCCACAGCCACAGCAAUGCGGGAUCCGAGCUGCGUCUGCAACCUACACCACAGCUCACGGCAACACCGGAUCCUUAACCCACUGAGCGAGGCCAGGGAUGGAACCCACAACCUCAUGAUUCCUAGUCGGAUUCGUUUCCGCUGCAGCACAACAGGAACUCCAAGAAUUUAGAUUCUAUUCACAGCAGGGCACUUGUGUAGCAACUUACGCCUUGGAAAAAUCUUUAAAACUUGAAAAAAUAUUGAUGUUGAUACCAAAACACGUAUGGCUGUAUAAUGUAUAAUGAAAGGGAAGCUCAUUAUGAUUCCACUAACCUCAGCACUGAGUGUGGAAAAAGAGGAAUUUCUACGACAUUUGCCCAAAACAGAGGGAAGGAAUUAGAGGUAGUGACUGAUACUGGGGUCUGAAAUAACUCUUAUAUCCUCCAUUUAAACACAUUUUUUUUCUUUCUUUCUUUCUUUUUUUUUUUUUUAGGGCCUUAUCUGCGGCAUAUGGAAGUUCCCAGGCUAGGGGUUGAACCAGAGCUGCAGCUGCCAGCCUAUGCCACAGCCACAGCAAUGCAGCAUCCUUAACCCACUGAGAAAGGCCAGGGAUUGAACCCACGUCCUCAUGGAUACUAGUUGGGCUUAUUUCCACUGAGCCACAGUGGGAACUCCAACAUCUCUUAAAUAUAAUAUUUAAAUCCAAAAUACAGUAAUUUAUGGGGUUCUUUCGUGGUGCAGUGGGUUAAGGAUGUGGCAUUGUCACCAUUGUGGCUGUGAUCACUUCUGUGGCACAGGUUGCAUCCCUGGCCCAGGAACAUCCACAUGCUGCAGAUAUGGCCCAAAACCAAAACCAAAAAGCAAAAAACCGCAGUAAUUUGUGCUAAUUCCUUUCUGUUUCCAGGGAAAAAGUCUGUAAUAGGCAGAGAGCCUUUUUCAGAUGAGAAGUGGUUGCAGGGGCAUGAAGUACAGUUGUCUUGCACACUGCACAUUAGUGCCUGAGCCAGGAGAAAUGGGGCUGGAAUCCAUCACAAAUGCAGCAACCUCCCCGGUUAUCAAGAAGGAGUUUUGUGGGUUGGCUCCAGCAGUGGGUGCUUGGGAAGAUGCAGGCGAUCCCAUGUAGAGACUGAGCUAGAAAACCUAAGGUUCUCCAGAAGAUCAAAAAUCCAGAAUGGAAAUAGUCAAAGAUGGAAUGUAGGGCUGCAUUGAGGCAAAAACCACAAAGUAAGAAAUUAUCAACAACCUUCAUACAACAUCUGAUUUAUUUGCCAGGUGUUUGGGGAAACCAGUGACCUUGAGAGAUAUUUACUCGAGGGAGGCACCUGAUGUAAUAACAUCUAACAGCUUCAGUGGGAGGAUGGGUGUGGCAAUGAAGGAUUCCUGUUGGGAGGUGAUGCCAAGGGAGGAGGGACAGGCAAAGACAAGGAGUCAGGGAAGGCUUUUUACAGGAAGAAACUCUUGGGCUAGGCCUUAUAGGGUUCACUAGCUAGACAAGAAGGAAAGGCAAUUUGAUGGAGACAUAAGUAAAGUUUGGAAGCAUGGAAUUUGACAAAUUUGAGGAAGAGCAAAUAGUUUGGUGUAUCUGGAAUAUCAGACCUGACUGGAGGUAAGAUUCAGGAACUGGAGGUAUAGAGAGAAGGGUUGUUGGAUAAGGUCUCUACUUUGCCAGGAAGUUCGAAUGUGAUCCAGGAGGCAGUGAGGUUGACUAAAGCUCCCUGGUAGUUUGAAAAGAUAACUUUACAUAGGUAGAGUCAGGAGGUAGACUUCAUUGAAAGCCUUAUGGGAGUUGGAGAAGAAUAAGCUCUGUAAAAAUACAUUUAAGUAGAUUGUAUCAAAUACUGACCUAAAUUUUUGUGCAUAUCAUCUCAUUUAAUCCUUAUAACAACCCUCUAUUAGGAGGUACUAAUAGUCUAUUUUAGAUGAGGAACUGGGGCUCAGAGAGGUUAAGUAAUUUGUCCUAGGUCACACAGCAAAUGAGAGGCAGGAUAAAACCCAAAGCAGCCUGGCCCCAGUGUCUGGGCUCAAAACCAUUUUGCUAAGUUUCCUGUGUUGGGCAGUGGACCCAGUAUGCUGCUCAUGGUAAGUGCUCAGGAAAGGCUGGCACUGAACUAACCUCCCCCUGCUCUCUCAUCUCUCAAUAACUAGGCAGUCUUUUUCAUCAUCUGUUUCCCUUGACACACUUUCUAGAGGUCAGGAAGACAAACAAGAAGCACUCCCUGUUCAUUUAUUCUCUUUAGUGGGCCUUCACCUUCCACUUACAGUGAGUGAAAUGGUGUCACCAAGGCAUGUCAUGGGCCUUCAGUGAAGAAAUUUAAAUGUACAUAUUUUUAUAUUUAUACGUAGUUUUUGAUUAAUAAUUUUUUUUUAAUUGUGUGAGCUAUCUUUUGAAAGAAGCGCUUCCAACUCCCAUAGAACACUUUUGACAUGAGUCUGUAAAAUUGAUUGAGACAGUUUGCCAAAGCCGCCAGUCUAAUUAAUGACUUACUAUAACCUCCAGUUUUAUUAGGUCUAUAUUUCUAGUAUAUUGGUACAUAUAUUAAUGACUGGCCUGUGAAUAAACUGACAGUUUUCAAAUGAUACGAGAUAACUUGUUUUCUUAUGGGGAAUUCACUUGUGCCUUGAACUUAGAGUAAAAGGAUUAUCAGUUCAGUAAAUUAUGACUCCAGUGUUCUUAUGAUCACCUUAGCAAUAGGAAGGCUGUCUGGAUUUUAUUUCUUGAUGAAACUGUACUUUGGAUGAGUCUCUCUGGUUAAUCUCAUGCUCUAGGAAGUAGGACACUUGCCUUCAUAGUUAUAGACUUAUCAAGCAGAGAAACAUUCACCAGGGGUCUGCUGGUUUCCUGUAUUAGUAAUAUCCAAACCUCUACUUUCAAAUUCUCUUUAACAUGGAGUUCUCAUUGUGGCUGAGCAGGUUAAGAACUCAACAUAGUGUCCGUGAGAAUGUGGGUUUGAUCCCCAGCCUCACUCAGUGGGUUAAGGAUCUGGCAUUGCUGCAAGCUGCAGCAUAGGUUGAAGAUGCAGCUUGGAUCUGGUGCUGCUGUGCCUGUGGUGUUGGUCGGCAGCUGCAGCUCCAAUUUGAUCCCUAGCCUGGGAACUUCCAUAUGCCUCAGGUGUGGCUGUAAAAGAAAAAAAAUUAUCUUUAACUUUUAAUAAAAUGUAUAUAAAGCAUUUUAUAAUGGGACAGAUAUUAAUAAGAUAAACAAUAUGAAUUUCAUAAAAACAACAAAAAGUAGUUGGAUAGAUAGUCUACUGUCUAAUUGGAAACAAUUUACAUCAUUCCCCCAAAAGGGGACACCACAUAAUCCAAGCUUUUUAUGUGUAUACUGCACGGGCAAAGUUUGGUUAAGAUAUAGUGGUAGAAACAAAAAUCACUGAGUUACUCUGAGUUGCCAUGUUUUCCAGCCCUCUCUUUCCAAAUUCACUGUCUUUUUGAAAGGGAAACUUUGAAAUUAAUGUGACAACUUAUGUGAAAAUCAUAUACAGAGCUGAAAUUUUUCAUUUGCAAUUAACCCAGACAGUCUGAACCGGGCCUACAGUAAGUCCGUCAAAGAUUUAGGGGUUACGAUGUGCUUGAGGGUUAUUCCCAAAGGCAUAGGAUAAUGCAAGGCUGAUUUUCCAUAGUGCUAACAAAGGAUAGCUGCUAUUUGUUUCUCAGUUGGAGUGGACGCCACCAUGUGGCAAUAGCAUAAACACAGAUUACAAAUCACACAACCAGCCUGCUUCAAAAGGAGAUACUUGAGGUUUUUUUUUUUUUUAUUUGAGAUUAUGUGCCUUGUUGAAAAUGUUAUACAUGAGAAGACAUUCAAUUUAUAUUUUUAUACUAUAUAAUUUCAAAUUAGUUUUUUUCAAAAUCACAUAUAAAAAUAUGAAAGUGGAGUUCCCGUCGUGGCGCAGUGGUUAACGAAUCCGACUAGGAACCAUGAGCUUGCGGGUUCGGUCCCUGCCCUUGCUCAGUGGGUUAACGAUCCGGCGUUGCCGUGAGCUGUGGUGUAGGUUGCAGACGCGGCUCGGAUCCCGCGUUGCUGUGGCUCUGGCGUAGACCGGUGGCUACAGCUCCGAUUCAACCCCUAGCCUGGGAACCUCCAUAUGCCGCGGGAGCGGCCCAAGAGAUAGCAACAACAACAACAACAAAAGACG
rnacentral:lncRNA from 1 species